rnacentral:rRNA from 1 species
UACGUAGGGUGCGAGCGUUAAUCGGAAUUACUGGGCGUAAAGCGUGCGCAGGCGGUUUUGUAAGCCAGAUGUGAAAUCCCCGGGCUUAACCUGGGAAUGGCGUUUGGGACUGCAAGGCUUGAGUUUGGCAGAGGAGACUGGAAUUCCUGGUGUAGCAGUGAAAUGCGUAGAUAUCAGGAGGAAUACCGAUGGCGAAGGCAGGUCUCUGGGCUAGAACUGACGCUCAUGCACGAAAGCGUGGGGAGCAAACAGG